UGCACAGCAGUGAGGGCAUGGGUGCUAAGGUCCAUGUCCGAGAGGGAAAGAACCCAGAUCUGCAGCUAAGGUCCCAAAGUAUAUGCUAAGUUGAACUAAGGCGGUUCAGUUGCCGAGACAGCCAGGAGGUUAGCUUGGAAGCAGCUAUUCCUUUAAAGAGUGCGUAACAGCUCACUGGUCGAGCGACAGAGCAUCGAUAAUAAUCGGGCAUAAAGCAUAUCACCGAAGCUCAGAAAUUACAAUUUAUUGUAAUUGGUAGGGGAGCAUUCUAAUCUG
rnacentral:rRNA from 1 species